rnacentral:tRNA from 1 species
UACUUGAUGCCUGAGUUAAGGGUAGCCUUGAUAAGGCUAUUACGCGAGUUUCGCUCAAGUAA